AUGCAUUCGCUAUGGAACUUUAUACAAUUAAAUUACUUUUCAUUUAAAAUUAAUACAGAGAAAACUUUGCUAUAAUUUAUUAACACAAACAUAUUUUAUUAAACAUUGCAUGAUAUAUGCUACUUAAAAAGUUACUACACAUAGUCUAACAAUAACUUAUCACUUUAUACGGAUGCACAGAAUCUACCUAAACCGUCCACUUAAAGUUUAUCAACGUCGUAACAAUUGCUUUCGGUAAAAAAAUCAACAAAACCAGUCGCUGGCAGUCGGUGAACGUAUUUACAAGAGCACGUUCGUGUAAUAUCUUAAAUUAAAAUGACUUAUGCUUUUAUAAUAGUGAUGUCUGUUGCGAUCACAUUAAAAUUGAUGUUCAUGAGUUUCUCACUGUACUUCACAUUGAAACACAAUUUACACGCUGAGCCGACAAAAAAGAAAAAUGGAAAGGAUAUAAUGGAAAAGUGCAAGCAAGUCACGCGUGCUUUUAUGCCUAGCAUUCACUGCAAUCAAACAUAAAGGAAAAUACAAGAGAAAAAGAGAAAAAUCAAUAAUAUAUGAAACCGUUUUAUUAAGAUAUUUUUAUUUUUUUCACAUCUUACUAUUAUACCUACUAAGGAAUUUGAAUGUGACAAAUGCUUGGUGCUGUUUUAUAUGAUAGAAUACUUAUUAUAUUUAUAUAAUUAUAUAAUUACAAGCAUGUUAGUUUCUUGAUAAAUUUGGAAUAAAGCAUUAUUUUACUU